rnacentral:rRNA from 1 species
GGCAGACGGGUGAGUAACGCGUGGGAACGUGCCCUUUUCUACGGAAUAGCUUCUGGAAACGGAAGGUAAUACCGUAUACGCCCUUCGGGGGAAAGAUUUAUCGGUGAAGGAUCGGCCCGCGUUAGAUUAGUUUGUUGGUGGGGUAAUGGCCUACCAAGACUACGAUCUAUAGCUGGUCUGAGAGGAUGAUCAGCCACACUGGGACUGAGACACGGCCCAGACUCCUACGGGAGGCAGCAGUGGGGAAUCUUGCACAAUGGGCGAAAGCCUGAUGCAGCCAUGCCGCGUGAAUGAUGAAGGCCUUAGGGUUGUAAAAUUCUUUCGCCAGGGAUGAUAAUGACAGUACCUGGUAAAGAAGCCCCGGCUAACUUCGUGCCAGCAGCCGCGGUAAUACGAAGGGGGCUAGCGUUGUUCGGAAUUACUGGGCGUAAAGCGCGCGUAGGCGGGCUGUUAAGUCAGAUGUGAAAGCCCGGGGCUCAACCUCGGAAUUGCAUUUGAAACUAGCAGCCUAGAGACCAGGAGAGGUUAGCGGAAUACCGAGUGUAGAGGUGAAAUUCGUAGAUAUUCGGUGGAACACCAGUGGCGAAGGCGGCUAACUGGACUGGUACUGACGCUGAGGCGCGAAAGUGUGGGGAGCAAACAGGAUUAG